rnacentral:rRNA from 1 species
AUUGAACGACUGGCGGCAUGCCUUACACAUGCAAGUCGAACGGUAACAGGUCUUCGGAUGCUGACGAGUGGCGAACGGGUGAGUAAUACAUCGGAACGUGCCCGAUCGUGGGGGAUAACUACUCGAAAGAGUGGCUAAUACCGCAUACGAUCUACGGAUGAAAGCAGGGGACCGCAAGGCCUUGCGCGGACGGAGCGGCCGAUGGCAGAUUAGGUAGUUGGUGGGAUAAAAGCUUACCAAGCCGACGAUCUGUAGCUGGUCUGAGAGGACGACCAGCCACACUGGGACUGAGACACGGCCCAGACUCCUACGGGAGGCAGCAGUGGGGAAUUUUGGACAAUGGGGGAAACCCUGAUCCAGCCAUGCCGCGUGCAGGAUGAAGGCCUUCGGGUUGUAAACUGCUUUUGUACGGAACGAAAAGGUACUUUUCUUAAUUAAAGAAGGACCCAUGACGGUACCGUAAGAAUAAGCACCGGCUAACUACGUGCCAGCAGCCGCGGUAAAACGUCUA